GAGAAGUAGCUUGCUACUUCGGCGUCGAGCGGCGGACGGGUGAGUAAUGCCUGGGAAAUUGCCUUGAUGUGGGGGAUAACCAUUGGAAACGAUGGCUAAUACCGCAUAAUGCUUUUGUUUGUAAUGAACGGAAGCCAAAGAGGGGGACCUUCGGGCCUCUCGCGUCAAGAUAUGCCCAGGUGGGAUUAGCUAGUUGGUGAGGUAAUGGCUCACCAAGGCGACGAUCCCUAGCUGGUCUGAGAGGAUGAUCAGCCACACUGGAACUGAGACACGGUCCAGACUCCUACGGGAGGCAGCAGUGGGGAAUAUUGCACAAUGGGCGCAAGCCUGAUGCAGCCAUGCCGCGUGUAUGAAGAAGGCCUUCGGGUUGUAAAGUACUUUCAGCAGUGAGGAAGGUGGAUGUGUUAAUAGCGCAUUCAUUUGACGUUAGCUGCAGAAGAAGCACCGGCUAACUCCGUGCCAGCAGCCGCGGUAAUACGGAGGGUGCGAGCGUUAAUCGGAAUUACUGGGCGUAAAGCGCAUGCAGGUGGAUGAUUAAGUCAGAUGUGAAAGCCCGGGGCUCAACCUCGGAAUAGCAUUUGAAACUGGUCAUCUAGAGUACUGUAGAGGGGGGUAGAAUUUCAGGUGUAGCGGUGAAAUGCGUAGAGAUCUGAAGGAAUACCAGUGGCGAAGGCGGCCCCCUGGACAGAUACUGACACUCAGAUGCGAAAGCGUGGGGAGCAAACAGGAUUAGAUACCCUGGUAGUCCACGCCGUAAACGAUGUCUACUUGGAGGUUGUGGCCUUGAGCCGUGGCUUUCGGAGCUAACGCGUUAAGUAGACCGCCUGGGGAGUACGGUCGCAAGAUUAAAACUCAAAUGAAUUGACGGGGGCCCGCACAAGCGGUGGAGCAUGUGGUUUAAUUCGAUGCAACGCGAAGAACCUUACCUACUCUUGACAUCCAGAGAAGCCAGCGGAGACGCAGGUGUGCCUUCGGGAGCUCUGAGACAGGUGCUGCAUGGCUGUCGUCAGCUCGUGUUGUGAAAUGUUGGGUUAAGUCCCGCAACGAGCGCAACCCUUAUCCUUGUUUGCCAGCGAGUAAUGUCGGGAACUCCAGGGAAACUGCCGGUGAUAAACCGGAGGAAGG
rnacentral:rRNA from 1 species